CGGACAGAUGGGAGCUUGCUCCCUGAUGAUUAGCGGCGGACGGGUGAGUAACACGUGGGUAACCUGCCUGUAAGACUGGGAUAACUCCGGGAAACCGGGGCUAAUACCGGAUGGUUGUUUGAACCGCAUGGUUCAAACAUAAAAGGUGGCUUCGGCUACCACUUACAGAUGGACCCGCGGCGCAUUAGCUAGUUGGUGAGGUAACGGCUCACCAAGGCAACGAUGCGUAGCCGACCUGAGAGGGUGAUCGGCCACACUGGGACUGAGACACGGCCCAGACUCCUACGGGAGGCAGCAGUAGGGAAUCUUCCGCAAUGGACGAAAGUCUGACGGAGCAACGCCGCGUGAGUGAUGAAGGUUUUCGGAUCGUAAAGCUCUGUUGUUAGGGAAGAACAAGUACCGUUCGAAUAGGGCGGUACCUUGACGGUACCUAACCAGAAAGCCACGGCUAACUACGUGCCAGCAGCCGCGGUAAUACGUAGGUGGCAAGCGUUGUCCGGAAUUAUUGGGCGUAAAGGGCUCGCAGGCGGUUUCUUAAGUCUGAUGUGAAAGCCCCCGGCUCAACCGGGGAGGGUCAUUGGAAACUGGGGAACUUGAGUGCAGAAGAGGAGAGUGGAAUUCCACGUGUAGCGGUGAAAUGCGUAGAGAUGUGGAGGAACACCAGUGGCGAAGGCGACUCUCUGGUCUGUAACUGACGCUGAGGAGCGAAAGCGUGGGGAGCGAACAGGAUUAGAUACCCUGGUAGUCCACGCCGUAAACGAUGAGUGCUAAGUGUUAGGGGGUUUCCGCCCCUUAGUGCUGCAGCUAACGCAUUAAGCACUCCGCCUGGGGAGUACGG
rnacentral:rRNA from 2 species